rnacentral:rRNA from 1 species
AUGAACGCUGGCGGCGUGCCUAAUACCUGCCAGUCGAGCGCACAGACGAGGAGCUUGCUCCUCUGACGUUAGCGGCGGACGGGCGAGUAACACGUGGAUAACCUACCUAUAAGACUGGGAUAACUUCGGGAAACCGGAGCUAAUACCGGAUAAUAUAUUGAACCGCAUGGUUCAAUAGUGAAAGACGGUUUUGCUGUCACUUAUAGAUGGAUCCGCGCCGCAUUAGCUAGUUGGUAAGGUAACGGCUUACCAAGGCAACGAUGCGUAGCCGACCUGAGAGGGUGAUCGGCCACACUGGAACUGAGACACGGUCCAGACUCCUACGGGAGGCAGCAGUAGGGAAUCUUCCGCAAUGGGCGAAAGCUUGACGGAGCAACGCCGCGUGAGUGAUGAAGGUCUUCGGAUCGUAAAACUCUGUUAUUAGGGAAGAACAAAUGUGUAAGUAACUAUGCACGUCUUGACGGUACCUAAUCAGAAAGCCACGGCUAACUACGUG